AUUGAACGCUGGCGGCAGGCCUAACACAUGCAAGUCGAGCGGAUGAAGGGAGCUUGCUCCUGGAUUCAGCGGCGGACGGGUGAGUAAUGCCUAGGAAUCUGCCUGGUAGUGGGGGAUAACGUCCGGAAACGGGCGCUAAUACCGCAUACGUCCUGAGGGAGAAAGUGGGGGAUCUUCGGACCUCACGCUAUCAGAUGAGCCUAGGUCGGAUUAGCUAGUUGGUGGGGUAAAGGCCUACCAAGGCGACGAUCCGUAACUGGUCUGAGAGGAUGAUCAGUCACACUGGAACUGUGACACGGUCCAGACUCCUACGGGAGGCAGCAGUGGGGAAGAUUGGACAAUGGGCGAAAGCCUGAUCCAGCCAUGCCGCGUGUGUGAAGAAGGUCUUCGGAUUGUAAAGCACUUUAAGUUGGGAGGAAGGGCAGUAAGUUAAUACCUUGCUGUUUUGACGUUACCAACAGAAUAAGCACCGGCUAACUUCGUG
rnacentral:rRNA from 1 species